UACGUAGGGGGCAAGCGUUGUCCGGAUUUAUUGGGCGUAAAGAGCGUGUAGGCGGCCAGGGAGGUCCGUUGUGAAAACUCGAGGCUCAACCUCGAGACGCCGAUGGAAACCCCCUGGCUAGAGUCCGGAAGAGGAGAGUGGAAUUCCUGGUGUAGCGGUGAAAUGCGCAGAUAUCAGGAAGAACACCCGUGGCGAAGGCGGCUCUCUGGGACGGUACUGACGCUGAGACGCGAAAACGUGGGGAGCGAACAGG
rnacentral:rRNA from 1 species